GGAGCUAGAUUGUCGGGGGCGGGCCAUGAGGAGCUAGAAGGUCGGGGGCGGAGCUGAGAGGAGGAGCUAGGAGUCCCGGCGCAGAGCCGGCCGGAAGAGGAGCCGAGAGGCGAAGAAGGCGCGGAUGAGGAAGAGCGGCGGGGCUAGCAGAAGAACCUAGAAGGUCAGGGGCGGGGAGGAGGAGCCAGAUAUCCUGGACGGGGCGAACCGAGCCUGACGCCAGGUUGGCGCGGCAGGUGCUCCGAAGAAGGCGGAGCGGGGCUGGGCAGCGGCCUGGGAGCCGGAUGUGGACUGGAAGGAGGGACCGUUGGACGCGAGAGGUCGGGACUGGCUUGAGGGACACGUUCGCGCCUCGGUUUCUUUAGUCGCAAAAAUGAGAUACCAGCCUCAUAGUGUGUUGAGAUGAUUAAAUGAGCUCAUGCAUGUUUACCGUACCUGGCACGAAACAGUCUACCCGGCGACGUCUGACGCACUCAUGAUUCCUGGUUGCCAUUCGUGGAGAUUGCAGGGCUUCCUCUUGCAGUUAAAGGCUCAUUGGCUCCCGGGAGGCCGGUCUGGUCUCAGCCACUUCCGCGGACUUCACUGUGACUGCUACUGGCUGUGGGGGCAAAGGCUACCUCGCCCCCGGGAUGGGACAGAAGAUGUGCCUGCCUUCUGCGGAGGAGCCCGGAUACGGGGUAGCGGUUCAUGAAGGUGCUGACCUUCAUGGGAGCACGAUGAAUCCAUCCAUACCGCAAACAUCCAUUAAACACCUACUGUAUGGUGGCUCUGUGCAGAGGGCUGUUAAUAAUACUAGCAAAACUUAGUAGGUGCCGGCCACCGUUCUAAGCCUUACGACAGCCUAUAAUGUAGAUCCUCUAGCUACCCACCUUAAUUUUACAAAGGGAAAGGGGGGCAUAGUGAAUUAAAAUAGCCUGCCCAAAGUUACACAUUUAGGAAGUGGCACAGUAUGGCUGGGAGACAGGUAAUUAAAUACUUUAUAGGUGUAGUAGACCAGAAAAUCACAACACAUUUGUGUUUAAUGCCCCAAAUAAGAAUAUGCACAAGGUUCAGCGGUGUUCAGAAAAGAACACUGUCCUGUGGUUAUAGCUAUGGGGAGGGGAGUGUCAGGAAGACCUUUCGCAAGGAGGUGAUGUCUGAGCUGGGUUUGGAAGAAGGAAUAGGAGUUGAGGAGCAGCUACAGGUGGAGAAAUGGGCGCAGUGAACAUUUUUCAAGCAUUCAGAAGGGUUGGGGGAAAAGUGGAGAUUGGAAUGAAGCUAAAAUAACAAAAGAGGACCAUUGAAAUCCAAGUGCUUUUUUUUUUUCUAUAGCUAUAGGAGCUAAGGAGCAUUAAUUUGACCCUUGCUUAGUAGAAAGCCAGAAGGAUUUUAAUCAGGGGGGACAUGUCAAUUGUUCCAGAAAGGUUAAUCUGAAAACAGCAAAGAGAAUGCCAGAGCCAGGAAACUUGCUUAUGAAGUUACUGAAAUCUGACAGGUUGGGAUACUGUGGUAGGCAGAAUAAUGAAUCCGGGAAGGAUGUCCACUCCCUAAUCCCUGGAACACUUUGCAGAUGUGCUUAAGUUUAAAGACAAUGAGAUGGGGAGCCUAUCCUGGAUUAUUUGAGUGAGUCUAAUCUAAUCAUGUGAGUUCUGUAAAGUGAAAGAGUGUGUCGGAGAGAUUCAAAAUAUGAGAGGAGCUGGACCUAGUUCAGAAGCCAAGGAUUGGGUGGCCUUUAGAAGUUGGAAAUGGACCUCAGCCAACAAAAAGUGAGAAUUUCAGUCCCACGGCCACAAGGAAGUGAAUUCUGCCAAUAACCCAACUGAGCAGGGGAAAGGGGACCCUCCCUUAGAGCCUACAGAAGGGAACUCAGCUCUGGAGGUGCACUUUGAUUUUAUCCUGUUGAGACCCACACUGGACUUCUGACCUACAGUACUGUAAAAUAAUAAAUUUGUGUUUUAAAACCUUA